UACAGAGGUCCCGAGCGUUGUUCGGAUUUAUUGGGCGUAAAGGGUGCGUAGGCGGCGGAGUAAGUUGGGUGUGAAAUCCCGGGGCUCAACCUCGGAAUGGCAUUCAAUACUGCUUCGCUAGAGUACUGGAGAGGAGGCUGGAAUUUACGGUGUAGCAGUGAAAUGCGUAGAUAUCGUAAGAAGGCCGGUGGCGAAAGCGAGCCUCUGGACAGUUACUGACGCUGAUGCACGAAGGCCAGGGGAGCAAACGGG
rnacentral:rRNA from 1 species